rnacentral:rRNA from 1 species
AUUGAACGCUGGCGGCAGGCCUAACACAUGCAAGUCGAGCGGAUGAAGGGAGCUUGCUCCUGGAUUCAGCGGCGGACGGGUGAGUAAUGCCUAGGAAUCUGCCUGGUAGUGGGGGAUAACGUCCGGAAACGGGCGCUAAUACCGCAUACGUCCUGAGGGAGAAAGUGGGGGAUCUUCGGACCUCACGCUAUCAGAUGAGCCUAGGUCGGAUUAGCUAGUUGGUGGGGUAAAGGCCUACCAAGGCGACGAUCCGUAACUGGUCUGAGAGGAUGAUCAGUCACACUGGAACUGAGACACGGUCCAGACUCCUACGGGAGGCAGCAGUAGGGAAUAUUGGGCAAUGGGCGAAAGCCUGAUCCAGCCAUGCCGCGUGUGUGAAGAAGGUCUUCGGAUUGUAAAGCACUUUUAGUUGGGAGGAAGAGCAGUAAGUUAAUACCUUGCUGUUUUGACGUUACCAACAGAAUAAGCACCGGCUAACUUCGUG